UUUUGGACAAUGGGCGCAAGCCUGAUCCAGCAAUGCCGCGUGCAGGAUGAAGGCCUUCGGGUUGUAAACUGCUUUUGUACGGAGCGAAAAGGCUUCCACUAAUACUGGGGGCUCAUGACGGUGCCGUAAGAAUAAGCACCGGCUAACUACGUGCCAGCAGCCGCGGUAAUACGUAGGGUGCAAGCGUUAAUCGGAAUUACUGGGCGUAAAGCGUGCGCAGGCGGUUAUGUAAGACAGAUGUGAAAUCCCCGGGCUUAACCUGGGAACUGCAUUUGUGACUGCAUGGCUAGAGUACGGUAGAGGGGGAUGGAAUUCCGCGUGUAGCAGUGAAAUGCGUAGAUAUGCGGAGGAACACCGAUGGCGAAGGCAAUCCCCUGGAGCCUGUACUGACGCUCAUGCACGAAG
rnacentral:rRNA from 1 species